AUUUGUCCAAGUCUAGAUAUUCGAAAUGUAAAUGCUAAUGGUGGUGAAAUCUUAUGUCUUAGGGAAUUUCAGCAAGUUAAAGAUUUUUUAUGUGAAUGUAGGAAUCAAUUCUAAGAACUCGAGAGGUAGCAUCCAAUAUGUAUUCACCUUACUACAGCAAAGAAUCUAACACUUUGGGUAAGUGUUCAUUCUUUAACUUAGGAAAAAUAGAUGGUAAGUCACCUCACUAAGCUUCUUGUUAUUCAUUGUCAAGCUUGAAAUCACUACUAGAGGGAUGUCAAAAGGAAGCAUGUGCAGAUUGAUCCUAUGGCUUAUCAUGUCCCAAGAAUUCAUAUCUACCAGUCUCAAAUAGCUAAUGCACAAAGGACCUAUUCUCUGUUUACAAUUCGGGUGCACUAUCUGCAAUGCUUGUUCUAAGGUUUGCUAUGCCAACUUUUUUUCCUUCUUUUGAUGGCUACUUUAUUUCUUAUUUUACAUUCAAUUUGUUCCAAUUCUUAUUUUAUAAGUUAUGUAUUGUUGGUGCAUAUGGAAUGAGUAAAUUCACUUGCAUCAUUAUGUCUCUAUUAUUCAGGUAUGUCACUCCACUUCCUCUUCCCACCUCAAAACUCUUUAUAGCUUAGUUCUUCACUACAAAUUUCGUAAGAACUAUAAAAGCUCAAAUUCAACUAUUGUAUUUUAGUUGUUCAAAGCAAUAAAACAGCAAACAACAACUAGUUGAGUGAGCGGCUCGUACUACCGACUUGAAGUGCUUGAUUCAAUUUAUUGUUAGGUGCCUAAACAAGCCUUUAUAUAUAAUUCUUAACUGAAAAUGAGUAAUAUGAUGUUUAGUGUGGAUGUCCUCUUCUAUGACACGAGAGUAAUAAUUUCUUGUUGUUUUGCCCUUCUUUUGUUAGGAGGAAUUAUAUUGCCUAUUGCUAAGGGAAGAAGUUGCUAGAAUCUAAUACUGUGAAAGUGUAAAUUUUGGAGUUUCUUUGUAAUUGCAUUGUAAGAUCAUCUAAUCUCUAAGUGAAAAAACUCUUGGCUACAAUUGAAGCAUUCCAUUAUGUACAUAAUGUUGUUAGCUUUAUUGAUUUGGCAGGCUUAUUUCCCAAGUCUUGUAAUCAAGUUGUUGGUUCCAAUAUCGUUGAACAUUCAUGACAUAUAGAUCUUCUAAUUUGCAAGCUCCUAUGACAUCUGUCAAACUCAACAAAGGUUCAUUCGUAUCUCAAAAAUUGUUAUAGAUUCUACUUUUUAUGCAAUAGAUUUCAAAAAAUUAAUUCUUGUAUGAUUUUUUGUAGGAAAAAAGAUUGAGCUACAUAUUUGACCUCAAAGCAGAGAGAGUUAAUCAUUUUGAUGAGGUACAUAUGGUAAGCCUUCAUCAACAACUGUCACAUUGUUCUUUAUGAUAAUUUGUGUUUUCUUUUAGUUCAUUCUUAUACAAUUCCUUUAAUAUCGAAAUUAAAAAACAAAGUACAUAAUUUAUUGAGUUGGCUGUUGUAACAUAUAGUUAUGACAUUAUUCAUGUUCCAAAAUAAUGGAAAGCCAAUCCAAGAUGAUUGAUCUAUAUGUUCAAGAUGCUUGAAAGGAGUGUCAUGAGUCUUUUUAUGGUACCAUUUGCAUAUUAGUGUAAGAGUUAUUAUUCUUAAACUAACUUUUUUCUUCUUUUUUUAUUUUUGCGGAAUUAUAGGUGAGAAUCAAGUUUAAUCGAACUAUCCUUGGGACUGAUUUUUACUGGAAGAUAACCUCAUAUUUCAUAAUGUCAUUCAUUGUUGGCAUACAAAAGCUCAAUCAUUAAACAACUUAUGAAAUAAAAGGGUGGUCGAUUAAGAGAGGAAGAAUGGAUUCAAAAGUUGAUCUCCACUUCCCACGCUUUUGAAGGCUUCAAUCAUGACUCAAAGAACAAGUUGGUUUAUUUAAAGGUUUUGGAAUCUCCUUGCAUGUUGUGGAAGUGUAUUUAGCUUCUAAAUAAAAGUAGAAUUCAAAUCCAGUAUCAACUUUCAAUUACUACAAAUUGCCACUCAAAUCUCCUUACAACCUUUCUAUUAGUUGUUUCUUUAUGCUUCUUCAAUGAUACUAUUAACAUUAUUUUAUGUUACUUUUGAUGGAAUCAUUUUCUAAUAUUUGUCUAUUUGGAUAUUGUAAUUUUUGGAUGAAACAUGAGUUGUUUCUUCUACUCUUCUACUCUAUUGUACUUCAUCUUUCUUACAUGGGCAUGCCCAAGAUUCUUGUGAAUCAUGUAAAUUUAGUGAUUGUUGCUUAUAUUUGAUAUUAAGAUUUGUUUAUAAUUCUUUUUUUAAUAUUUAUUUUAUUUACUUUCUAAUACUUUGUUUUUAUUGGGGGCUUCUCUCAGGUUUGUGAUCAAAGUGAGAUGCAUGAAAUUUUAAAAUCCAAAUUAGGAAAGAAAUCAGUCUUCUAUAAUAUAUAUUGCAAUGAGAAACUAUGUUCUUUAAAGCUUUGGUACAACAUUAUUUUUUUCAAGGAAAAUUUUGAAAUUUUGUGUUUUAGAACUUAUUUUUAGAAAAUGUGAAAAACAUAAUAAAAAUGUUUGGACUAUAAUUCAAGAGGGUUGUAGUUAAUCUAAGUCUAACUUAAUCUCUUUUUUUAAAAAAAAAAAUAGGUUUAUCAAGUUGUCCAGGGUAAAAAUCUACAUUUUUUUUAACUUUAUUUAAUAUAUUUAUAUUAAAAUUAAAAUAAUUAAUGAGACUAUUUCAAGAUAAUAAUUAAAAAAUUAAAAAAUAAAUUUAUAUGUCUUUUUAGAAAAAUGAGAUAAGAGUAAUUACAAUUUAAUAUUUUUUUCCUAUAAAAUUAAAAAAUAAAUCAAAUGAAUAUUAUUAGUGUUGAGUUAUGUAAAACCUAAUUAUACCAUACACUUUCACCAUAACAAUGACCAACCUUCGUGGUGCUAAGGUUAGUGAGUGUGGGGGUUCCAGACAUAAACCCCAAUAGGUUGAGAUUAGGUUGUGGCCACAUGGAAAAUUGUAUAGUAUCAUUAGGUUACACUCAAUUUAAUAAACCUAAUCUUAUUUUUCUAAACUUAGGUUGAAAUUAAAUUAGUUAGAAUAUAUUCAAGGUGGUCGAAUUAAUUAAGUCAUGUAAUUCGUAAUCCAUUCAUAAUGUUUUUUUUCUUAUAUAUUUAUACCAAAAUCUAAAUAGUAAGUUGGAUACAAUUACGAUCCAAUAACAAAAAUGUAAAAAGAAAUUUAUAUAUCCUUAUAAAAAAUUAAAAAGUUAUAUAAUAGAAUUAUAAUUUGAUAUUUUUUUUCUUAAAAAUAAAAAAGAGAAUAAAUAAAAUGAACACUUUUAAUGUAAGAUUAUAUAAAUUAUAAAUAAUAUAAAAUUAUUAAAUUAGAUUCAUCAUCCAAACCUUAGUAUGAGUGUAACUCAAAUUAAGUUCAAAUCGAAAAAAACUUUACCUAAACUCAACAACUUUAAAAAUGAUUAUCUGCACCCGUCUAAAAGUAGGAUUUUUUUAGAGUCCUAUUUCUCUAUUUUUAACUUAAUUUUAUUUUUUUUCAACGGAAUUAUAGAUAAGGAUCAAGUUUAAUCAAACUAUCCUUGGGAUUGGCUUUUACUGGAAAACAACCUCAUACUUCAUAAUGGCAUUCAUUGUUGACACACAAAAGCUUAAUCAUUAAACAAUUUAUGAAAUAAGAGAAUGGUUGAUUAAAAGAUGAAGAAUGGAUUCAAAAAUUGAUCUCCACUUCUGGCACUUUUGGAAGCUUCAAUCAUGCCUCAACGAACCAUUUGGUUUAUUUAAAGCUUUUGGAAUCUCCUUGCAUGUUGUGGAAGUGUAUUUAGCUUCUAAAUAGAAGUAGAAUUCAAAUCCAGUAUCAACUUUCAAUUACUACAAAUUGCCACUCAAAUCUCCUUACAACAUUUCUAUUAGUUGUUCUUUUAUGUUUCUUCAAUGAUACAAUUAGCAUAAUUUUAUGUUACUUUGAUGGAAUCAUUUUCUAAUAUUUGUCUAUUUGGAGAUUGUAAUUUUUGGAUGAAACUUGAAUCUUUUCUUCUAUUCUUCUACUCUAUUGUACUUCAUCUUUCUUACAUGCAUGCCCAAGAUUCUUGAAAAUCAUGUCAAUUUAGUGUUUGUUGUUUGUAUUUGAUAUUAAUAUUUGUUUAAAAUUCUUGUUUUUAAUAUUUAUUUUCUAAUACUUGGUUUGUUUUUGUUUUUAUAAGGGGCUUCUCUCAUGUUUGUGAUCAAAGUGAGAUGUAUGAAUUUGAAAAUCCAAAUUAGAAAAGAAAAUCAAUCUUCUACAAUAUAUAUAGCAAUGAGAAACUAUUUUCUUUAAGGGAGAAUUAUGUUUUGGGGGUAGAUGGACCCCCAAAUUAACAAAAGGUCCAUGUAACUCUUCAAAUUGAGCCCAAGACCCAAUGAAAGUAUGGAAAUUGAGUUGAAGGAUAUCAUCCUUCAGUAUUUCCAAAAAUACCAUUUGUUAAUUUUGAGAAAAAAAAUUAAUAUUUUUUAAAAAUACUUUUAUUUAAUUUAAUAUUUUUUAUUUAAUUUAAUAUUUUUAAAAAAUACUUUUAUGUAAUUUAAUAUUUUUUAAAAUAAUUUUAUUUAAUUUAAUAUUUUUAAAAAAAAAUUUAAUUUAAUAUUUUUGAAAAAAAAUUAUUUAAUUUAAUAUUUUUGAAAACUACUUUUAUUUAAUUUAGUAUUUUUGAAAAAAAAAUUAUUGAAAAAAAAUUAUUUAACUUAAUUUUAUAAAAUAUUUUAUAUGUGUUCUUAAAGGGUAUAUUUGUCCGUUACUAUUUCAUAUCCUUCAACUCAAUUUGAAGAGUUAUAUGGGCAUUUUGUUAAUUUGGAGGUCCAUCUACCCCCAAAAAUAAUUCUCCCUUUCUUUAAAGCUUUGGUACAACACUUUCUUUUUUUUUGGAAAUUUUUUAAAUUUAGUGUUUUAGAACUUAUUUUUAGAAAAUGUAAAAAAACAUAGUAAAAAUGUUAGGGCUAUAAUUUGAUAGGGUUAUAGUCAAUCUAAGUCUAAUUCAAUCGCAUUUUUUUAAAACAAGUUUAUCAAGUUGUUAGCAAUGAAAAUCUACAUUCUUUUUUAACUUUAUUUGAUAUAUUUAUGUUAAAAUUUAAAUAAUUAAUGAGACUAUUUCAAGAUAAUAAUUAAACAUAAAAAAUAAAUUUUUAUAUCUUUCUAGAAAAAUGAAAUAAAGUAAUUAUAAUUUAAUAUUUUUUCCUUAUUAUUAAAUAAAUUAAUUAAUUAAAUAUUAUUAGUGUUGAGUUAUGUGAAGCCUAAUUAUACUACACACUUUUCACCAUAACAAUCGACUGACCUUCAUGGUGUUAAGGUCGACAUGUGUGGGGGUUUGAGGCAUAAGCCCCAAAAGAUUGAGAUUAGGUUGUAAUAGUAGAGAAAAGUUUAUAGUAUGAUUAGGCUCCACAUAAUUUAACAUAAUCUAAUUUUAUUUUUCUAAACUUAGGUUAAGAUUAGAUUGGUUGGAUUAUAUUUGGUUUGGUCAAAUUGAUCGAGUCUUAUAAUUCAUAAUCCAUUAGCAAUGGUUUUUUAUUUAUUAAUUUUUGUUUAUUUAUACCAAAAUAUAAAUUGUAAGUUGGAUACAAUGUCAAAAUAAUAACAAAAAUGUAAAAAUAAAUUUAAAUAUCUUUAUAAAAAAAGGUUAUAUAAUAGAAUUAUAUUUGAUAUUUUUUUCUCAAAAAUAAAAAGAGAGAAUAAAUAAAAUAAAUACUUUUAAUAAUAAAUUAUUAUUAUUAUUAUUAUUAUUAUUAUUAUUAUUAUUACAAACUUAAUUCAAUUGCACUCAACAUGAUUAAGCCUUUUUAUUUUCAUUUUUUAAAAUAAUAAAUCGUUUUCACUUUAAUUUUCAAGCAAAGAUUACAAAAUUUGAACACCAUUAUAAGCAAUUUUUAUUUAACCCUUCAAUAAGAAAGAAAAUUAAUCUAACAAUUUUUAAGAAAGCUUAUUUAUGAACUUCUCAAAUUAAUUUUUAUUAUAUUCUUCUUCCAAUCUAAACCAGCUAAUAGAUGCCCUUUUAUCCAUAUAAUAUUUUACAUGAGAUGUUCUUCUUGAUGCUGAGGAGCAGCAGGGCCAAAGCCAUGAAUUGCAGCAAGGAGGAAUAGCAAGGCAGGUAGGUGACUUUAUUGUGGGUAUUGGGGGGUUUAGGCAAGACCACCCUGAUGCAUGAAAUUUUAAAAUAGAAAUUAGGCAAGAAAAUUUAGUCUCCGGCAAUAUAUAUAGCAAUGAGACACAUAGAUGGUUGUCUGGGGUUUCUGGUUUGUAGAGAGAGAAAGGGAGGUUUAUAGAGAGAGAAGAUCGACUAGGUUGGGGUUUGAAAUUGAAUUUUGGGCAGGAUCCAAAACAGAUGGUAGAGAUUGGAUCCUGGGGAUCUGACAAUGGAGUUUGGAGUUUGAAUUUGUCAUAGGCUAUAACACACUGGCAAUGUUAAAGCCCAAAUUUAAUGGGCUGGGAUAUGUACUUCUCACUUUUGGGCUUUGGUCCAACAGCCCAACUUCUUUUAUUUUUUAAAAAUUAAUUAAAUACGUGAUUAAACAUAUCCUUUUUUUUUUUUAUCUAUUUGAUUAAUGGGAUAUAAUAUAAUUCAUGGUUUGGGAUCUUUGGUGCUUAUCAAAUUUUGUUCUUGGAUUUUUUUUAAAGUGGGACAAGUAAGUACAUACUUUUUACUUGAGGGGUAACUAGCAACUUUUCCAUAAUUAAAUUUUACAUGACUAUAAUAUAUUUAUUGGAAAUAAUUUUUUCUCCCUAAAAUUUUUUAUUUAAUUGCUACAAAAUAAUUUUAAUUAUUGAAAUUAUUUUAUUGUUACUCUAAUUAAAUUACGGUGGGCUUUGGGUUUGGGUUUUGGACAAACCUAAGGCCAACUUAAACCUAAUAUAUAUUUUACAUAAAUUUCAAACUAUACGUAUAUGAUAGUUUUGUUAUUUUGAGUGUCAUAAGGGAAUGAUAAGAAGCUGAGCUUGAAUUGGAUAGCUUGGAUUGGAUUCGACAAAUGAUAAGAAGUCGAGAUUCACUUUCUUUUCCUUUUUCUAAUAUAUUUCUUUCACUUUUCCUUUUUAGUUUUUUUAAUAAAAUUUCAUCCUACCCCACUUUCAAAAAUAAAAAGUUAAAAAAUGACUGGCUUGAGACUGUUCAAAAUCUAAUUUUUUUUUUUUAAAGGUGAGGAAGAUGAGUUAUGCUUUCUUUGUACAAGCCCACUCUUCACGUAGUUCCUUUUAUGAUAUACUAUCUAAUACUUUUUUCAUUAGUUUCCAUCUCCAUUAUCUUAAAAAUUCAAAUACAAAUUAUCAAAUUUACAAAAGGUAUAAACAAUUGUGAAAUAAUAAGAUGUUACCAAUGCUACAACAAUAUCCACAAUGAUAAUACUUCGAGUACUAUAAAUUUAUUAGCUUUAAUUUUUUUGUUCUUUUUAAUUUGUAAAGAAAUGCGGUGAUAUUAUACAAGUCUUUUUGUAAGGUGACUAAGGUUUUUCACACAUGAAACUAUACCAUAAAUGUAUAAACUAUUUAAAUAUAAAAAUUAAGGAUUAUGUUAAGUUCUUGGAUAUUACUAAGAAAUUGACAAAAAAAAAAUAGUUAGAAAAAUGAUUAAUUUUUUUAUAUCUGCAUGUUAUAGAAAAAUAUGAUGAAAACAUAUUAAGAAAAAUAGGAGAAAAUUGCUAAAAGUUUUCCCGACCUUUUUCCUUAUAUAAAGGUGAGUAAAACUUGAUGAAAGUGUAUUUCUUAAAAUUUUAAUUUUUUAUUUUUCUCUCAACUUUUUCAUGAAUAUGUUAUUAACAUAAAAAAAAAUAUAGUAAAAGGAAAAUAUGAUUUUACAAAAUUUAUCCAAAGUAAAAAAAUAAACGAUGCAUAAUAAUUUUCUUUUUUCCUGGCUUUAUUCUUACAAUUUACUUUUGAUGGAAGUAAAUUAUUUUGCGUCAACUCAAAUUCAGCCUUUUCAAAAAGUAAUGGGAAUCCAAUGAAUUUUUUCAAAUUCAUUUUAAUUUAUGACCCACCAUGUGAAGGAGUAAUCAUUUUCUAGGUGAUAGGAUUCCAAAUCAAUUAUUUCAAAUUCACAUUGCUUUAUAGCCCACUUUUUCAAAAGUUGCUAUCAUCAUUUCCUUGCAGGCUCUUUGCCCUGUCUCCCACUAAUUCCUUGGGAAAGAACAAGACUUCUUUCUUCCAAGCAUGCAAAUUCCAAAAUGAUAUUAUCUACUAUUUUAAAUCUAAGAACCCUACCUAUAUAUAUGUGAUGGGAUCCACUACUUUUCAAGCAGGCUCCCAACUUCCAUGGAAACUCUAGGGCCUCUCGACAUCUUUCUAUACAUUUAUUUAUUUUUUAAAACUAUUAUUUUCAUAACAUUGCUUUAAAGAAGUUGUUUUUUUUUCCAUAUUUUUCUAAAAUAAUAGUAAAAAAGUUUUGAUAUACUAUCUAAUACUUUUUUCAUUAGUUUCCAUCUCCACUAUCUUAAAAAUUCAAAUACAAAUUAUCAAAUUUACAAAAGGUAUAAACAAUUGUGAAAUAAUAUGUUACCAAUAUCCACAAUGAUAAUACUUCAAGUACUAUAAAUUUAUUAGCUUUGAUUUUUUUUCUUUUUAAUUUGUAAAUAAAUGUGGUGAUAUUAUACAAGUCUUUUUGUAACGCGACCCCCUUCUCGCGGUUAAGGUAACGACUUCGGGCAUGGCCAGCUCCCAUAGUGUGACGGGCGGUGUGUACAAGGCCCGGGAACGAAUUCACCGUUGUAUGGCUGAUCGACGAUUACUAGCAAUUCCGGCUUCAUGCAGGCGAGUUGCAGCCUGCAAUCCGAACUGAGGACGGGUUUGAAUUCCCGAUAGAAAGAGAUUUCGCGAACGCAAAAGCCUUUAAUGCGGCCCGUCAUCCCUUCCUUUUGGAAAGCUUUCCAUUCUUCCAAGUGAUGAAGCAAGGGAAGGCAGUAGUGGGGAAUUUUCCGCAAUGGGCGAAAGCCUGACGGAGGAAUGCCGCGUGGAGGUAGAAGGCCCACAGGUCGUGAUUAGGAUCAGAAUGACAAAUACAAUAGAUUUUAAACUAUACCAUAAAUGUAUAAACUAUUUAAAUAUAAAAAUUAAGGAUUAUGUUAAGUUCUUGGAUAUUACUAAGAAAUUGACAAAAAAAAUUGUUAGAAAAAUGAUUAAUUUUUUUAUAUCUGCAUGUUAUAGAAAAAUAUGGUGAAAACAUAUUAAGAAAAAUAGGAGAAAAUUGCUAAAAGUUUUCCUGACUUUUUUCCUUAUAUAAAGGUGAGUAAAACUUGAUGAAAGUGUAUUUCUUAAAAUUUUAAUUUUUUAUUUUUCUCUCAACUUUUUCAUGAAUAUGCUAUUAACAUAAAAAAAAAAUAUAGUAAAAGGAAAAUAUGAUUUUACAAAAUUUAUCCAAAGUAAAAAAAUAAACGGUGCAUAACAAUUUUCUUUUUUCUUGGCUUUAUUCUUAUAAUUUACUUUUGAUGGAAGUAAAUUAUUUUGGGUCAACUCAAAUUCAGCCUUUUCAAAAAGUAAUGGGAAUCCAAUGAAUUUUUUCAAAUUCAUUUUAAUUUAUAACCCACCAUGUGAAGGAGUAAUCAUUUUCUAGGUGAUAGGAUUCCAAAUCAAUUAUUUCAAAUUCACAUUGCUUUAUAGCCCACUUUUUCAAAAGUUGCUAUCAUCAUUUCCUUGCAGGCUCUUUGCCCUGUCUCCCACUAAUUCCUUUGGAAAGAACAAGACUUCUUUCUUCCAAGCAUGCAAAUUCCAAAAUGAUAUUAUCUACUAUUUUAAAUCUAAGAACCCUACCUAUAUAUAUGUGAUGGGAUCCACUACUUUUCAAGCAGGCUCCCAACUUCCAUGGAAACUCUAGGGCCUCUCGACAUCUUUUUAUACAUUUAUUUAUUUUUUAAAACUAUUAUUUUCAUAACAUUGCUUUAAAGAAGUUUUUUUUUUUCCAUAUUUUUCUAAAAUAAUAGUAAAAAAGUUUUGAAAAUUAAUUUCCUUUUUCUCACUUUUUUUUCAAUGGAUAUCUAGACAAAAGAAAUUUUUUUUAUAAAUUUUUCUUCUCCUUUUCUUUUAUUUUUAAAAUUUUUUACUUUAUUUUUAUUUUUUUCUAACUUUCUGAAAAUUGUUAUAUAAGCAGCCAAACAAGACUUCUUCCUUCCAAGCACGCAGACCAUAUUCCACAAUAAUAUGAUAUAUUAUAGGAAACUUCUAUGGUGCUGAGGGAGGUACCAUACCUCAGAUUUUUUAUAGUCGUUGGAUGCAAGAGUUUAAAUCUCAGCCAUUGAAAAGAAAAAGAAAAAAAGGAAAAAGGAAAACUGGCUACCUGUUGUCUCCCCCUCUCAGGCCAUUUUCCCGUUUGUUCCCUCUUUCCCGUUUGUUCCCUCUCUUCCCUCAUUUUCUACCUGUUCUCUCCCCCUCUUAGCCCCUCUCUCUUCUCCUCCAUAGUCGAGCGUCUUCUCCUCUAGCUGUGUCUCGUGCUCUCGUCUCCAGCUGUGUCUCGUGCUCUCAUCUCCACACUCCUCCAUAGCCGAGCGUCUUCAGCCCCUCUCUUCUCCUCCAUAGCCGAGCAUCUUCUCCUCCAGCCGUGUCUCGUGCUCUCAUCUCCAGCUGUGUCUCGUGCUCUCAUCCCCACACUCCUCCAUAGGCGGCCGUCUUGUCCUCCAUAGUCGGUUGUGUCCCCGUGCUCUGAUCUCCACUCAUUCUCGACAGCCGAGUCUAGAAAUCCUAUCUUCGGAAGAAACGCAAGAGGCAAAUGCGAGACAAUGAAGAAAUGAGGGAAAGAAAGCACUGAAGAAGGAGAUAGAGACCCCUCUCACGAUUAAUCUUCAGUCGAGUUUCUGUUUUCUCCAUUUUUUAUCGAGUUUGCCGAUAUUUUCCUCUCUUCUCCAUACUCGACUCUUCUCAGGUAUCUCCAUCGACUGUUAUUUUCAGGUGCUUUAAGUUGUCUUUGUGUAUUGUUGGAUGUUUUUGUGUUAUUGGGUGUUUUCGGGUAAGAUAUUGUAGCUGUUCCGGGGGACAUCUUUUUGAGUUCUGGCUUUUUUAGUAUCCCCUUUGAUUAUGUCCAUAUUUAGUUUUCAUAUUUGGGGUUUUUUCGGGUUUUGAAGUAAAGAGUACGAUAUUCCCGCUCCCUCCCUCCUAUCCAUAACCCUUGUAUUUUGUUCAUAUUUUAUAUUUUGUUUAAGGGGUGUUUUUGGCUUUUAAAUUUCCUGGUUUGAAGACCCGAAUUGAAGACAUAGCUGGAAGAAAAAGAAGAAAAAAUGUGAGUAUUGAUAAUGUGUUUUACAAUAUUAUAGCCAUUAUAUUUCAUGCUUUUUGUGAGAUUUAUAGAUUGAUGACAUUAAUGAAAAUAAUGUGGUUAGAUCCAUAAUUGUAGAUUGAAAAAGAUUGAUAUGCUAAAUUUGUGACCAUUUAAAAUGUACAUAGAUUUAGGGAAGAUUUUGUAGUGGUGGUGAAAGUAUGUUUGAUUUAUUAUAUUUGAAAUCAUAUUAUAAAAAUUGACUUAAAUGCUUUGAUUUAAUUUUUAGGAGCGAACGCGAUGGACUUGAAGUUGUUAGAAAUCCAAAGAGGCCUAUCGGCGCUUGGAUACAUUACUAGUAAGGGAAAAUAGAAAUAUGUAAAAUAAUAUGUUUUUUAAUGUAUUUUUUGUGGUUGUUAUUGUUAAAUUUGUUUGAAAUUGUUUUGUAGUAAUGAUCAAUUAGCCAUGAUGAAAGAGAAGGAUAAAGGAGUGAAGAUAAAUGAUGAUGUAAGGAGUAAUUUUGCUAGUCUAAUAUAAUUACAUUUUAAAAUUAGAAUUUAAAUUAUGUGACCAAUUAAUGUAGUUGAGGAAAAAAUUGGGCAAGAAGUGGAAUGCACUUUCAAAAGUAGAAAAAGAAAAUUUCAUGGCAAAGUCCAAAGAAAGUUCAAAACAAUAUUCACUUCAAAAGGGUGUAGUUCCAAAGGUAAUUUUUUUUUGUAAUGAAUAUUUAAUUUCUUUACUUAUGUAUUUGUUGGAAAUUAUAUUAAUGUAAACAUGUUUGAUGUUUGUGUAUCUUUUCAGUUAUAUCUUCAGACUCGAUGCUCCCCCGAGCGAGUUAUUAGAGUGAUUGAAAAUUUAGAACCAAAGCAAAAGGCAGCCAUAGAAGAAAUAGGAUUUGGUAGCCUCUUGCAACUUCGAUGUAGGAAAAUUGAUCAUGGGUUAUGUCUUUGGUUGAUAAAUAGUUUUAAUCCGAACACUUAUAUGUUACAGUUGUAUAAUACUUGUAUCAAAUUAUCCCCCAUUGAUGUUGAAUUCAUUAUGGGAUUGAGGGCAAGAGGGUUCAAGAUUGGCAUGAACAAAGAUGUUGGUCAUAAGAAUGAUUUAUGUAAAAAAUAUUGUGAUAAAAAAGGGCGAUUGCCAUUAGUGAUGUUAGAAAAUCAAAUUAGGGAGGAUAAAGAGGGUGGAAACGAUUUUAAAGUUCGUUUUGUAUUAUUUGUGUUGGGUGCAUUAUUGUGCCCAACAAUGAAGCUUUUUGUGAAUCGCUCUUUCUUACAUCUUGUGGAAGACAUCGAUUAAUUAAAGAAGAUGAAUUGGGCAGAAUUUGUGUUGUCCUAUCUUGUGCACGGGAUUGAAGAGUUUAAGAAGAAACAACAAAGUGGGGUUUACGGUUGCUUAUUGUUUUUAAUGGUAAUUAAUUUACAUCAUAGUGAAUUACGAUUUUGUUUUAAUAUAAUUUAUGAACUAACUAUAUAUCUAUGUCAAAUAUACUCGUAGUUAUUCUACCACGAGCAUAUAUCGUUUGAAGAGAAAUUUCUACCGCUAUAUACUUGACUUUCUCCUCGGAUUACUGCUUGGGGAGAUGAUGAAGUAUUGGACAGGAAACGAAGAUUGAAAAAACUUAGUGGAUAUGCAAAUGAGAAUGUAAGUUAUAGUUUUGAAAGUCGUUUGCUAUUGAUUUAAGUUUUUAGUGAUUUAAAAUCUGAUAUGUAUUAUAUUUUGAUGAAUAUAUUGUAGCUCAAAAUAUGGGUGAUAGAAAAUGAGAUAAGGGAUUGCGUUGAUGGAAAUGCAACGAUAAUGGCGAGUGAGAAUGAGGACGAUGAGAAAUUUGUAUCCAAUCUAAACAAAGAUGUUAUUAAACGAAUAAGUGUUUUACAAUAUUCAUCGUGACUAUCUAUAUUAGCAUUGAACCUUUGUAUUAUGAUGUUAUUAAUCACGUUCGUAUAUAUCACUAGGUUGAUGGUGGGAACUUAAUGGAGAUGGAUAAAACCUUUCAACAAUUAAAGACACAUCUAAUUGAUAUGGCGUAUGGUGCAAGUAGUCGUAGUUGUGAUCAAAUUUUGGCUAAAUUUGAGGAGAAUUAUACUACAGUGAAAGGUCUCUUCCUUAGGUCAAGCGGAAAACCUUUGAGAAUGCACGAGGAAGGAACGAAGAAUGACAUGCUCUCAUGCGAGAGAAGUUUGGAAGAUACGAACAAUAUGAAUGUGAAUGAACAUUAUCUUCACACUUUGUCAAAUGACAAGUUAUGCACCGAGGACUUGAAUGAAAGAAUGAGAUGCAUGUGCUACNNNNNNNNNNNNNNNNNNNNNNNNNNNNNNNNNNNNNNNNNNNNNNNNNNNNNNNNNNNNNNNNNNNNNNNNNNNNNNNNNNNNNNNNNNNNNNNNNNNNNNNNNNNNNNNNNNNNNNNNNAAUACUAAAAAAUUCACAAGGGUACGAAGAAUGUGAGGAAUCCUCACAUUCUUCGUACACUCCCAAAUCUCCAUUUCUUUGGACUUUUUAAAAUUUUUUGGGGCUUCAUAUGGCUUGGAUGUUGCUUGAAUAGGUCCGUUACACUUAGAAGGUGGUCAAAUGAUAUCCGAAAAAAUCGAAAUCCAAAAAUACUAAAAAAUUCCCUCACAUUCUUCGUACCCUCCCAAAUCUCCAUUUAUUUGGACUUUUUAAAAUUUUUUGGUGCUUCAUAUAAUAGGUCCGUUACACUUAGAAGGUGGUCAAAUGAUAUCCGGAAAAAUCAAAAUCCAAAAAUACUAAAAAAUUCACGAGGGUACGAAGAAUGUGAGGAUUCCUCACAUUCUUCGUACCCUCCCAAUCUCCAUUUCUUUGGACUUUUUAAAAUUUUUUGGGGCUUCAUAUGGCUUGGAUGUUGCUUGAAUAGGUCCAUUACACUUAGAAGGUGGUCAAAUGAUAUCCGGAAAAAUCAAAAUCCAAAAAUACUAAAAAAUUCACAAGGGUACGAAGAAUGUGAGGAAUCCUUACAUUCUUCGUACCCUCCCAAAUUUCCACUUCUUUCGACUUUUUAAAAUUUUUUGCGCCAUCAUAUGGCUUGAAUGUUGCUUGAAUAGGUCCGUUACACGUAGAAGGUGGUCAAAUGAUAUCCGUAAAAAUCAAAAUGGAAAAAUACUAAAAAAUUCACAAGGGUACGAAGAAUGUGAGGAAUCCUCACAUUCUUCGUACCCUCCCAAAUCUCCACUUCUUUGGACUUGUUAAAAUUUUUUGGGCCAUCAUAUGGCUUGAAUGUUGCUUGAAUAGGUCCGUUACACUUAGAAGGUGGUCAAUGACAUCCGGAAAAAUCGAAAUCGAAAAUACUAAAAAAUUCACAAGGGUACAAAGAAUGUGAGGAAUCCUCACAUUCUUCGUACCCUCCCAAUCUCNCUUCUUUGGACUUUUAAAUUUUUUGGACAUCAUAUGGUUGGAUGUUGCUUGAAUAGGUCCGUUACACUUAGAAGGUGGUCAAAUGAUAUCCGGAAAAAUCAAAAUCCAAAAAUACUAAAAAAAUUCAAAAGGAUACAAAGAAUGUGAGGAAUCCUCACAUUCUUCAUACCCUCCAAAAUCUCCAUUUCUUUGGACUUUUUAANNNNNNNNNNNNNNNNNNNNNNNNNNNNNNNNNNNNNNNNNNNNNNNNNNNNNNNNNNNNNNNNNNNNNNNNNNNNNNNNNNNNNNNNNNNNNNNNNNNNUCAAAUGAUAUCCGGAAAAAUCGAAAUCCAAAAAUACUAAAAAAUUCACAAGGGUACGAAGAAUGUGAGGAAUCCUCACAUUCUUCGUACCCUCCCAAAUCUCCACUUCUUUGGACUUUUUAAAAUUUCUUGGGCCAUCAUAUGGCUUGGAUGUGUGCUUGAAUAGGUCUGUUACACUUAGAAGGUGGUCAAAUGAUAUCCGGAAAAAUCGAAAUCCAAAAAUACUAAAAAAUUCACAAAGGUACGAAGAAUGUGAGGAAUCCUCACAUUCUUCGUACCCUCCCAAAUCUCCACUUCUUUGGACUUUUUAAAAUUUUUUGGGUCAUCAUAUGGCUUGGAUGUUGCUUGAAUAGGUUGAUUCCACUUAGGCGGUGUUCGAAUAAGUCCCGAAAAAUUAAAAGCUAAAAAUACUAAAAAAUUAGAAAAGGUCCGAAGAAUGUGAGGAUUCCUCACAUUCUUCGUACCGUCCCAAAUCUUCACUUAUUUGAAGUUUUAAAAAUUUUGUUGGACUUCAUAUGCCUUGGAUAUUGUCUAAAUAGGUUGAGUCCACUUAGGUGGUGUUCGAAUGAGUCCUGGUAAAAUUAAAAGCCAAAAAUAUUAAAAAAUUAGAUAAGGUACACAGAAUGUGAGGAAUCCUCACAUUCUUCAUACUCUCCCAAAUCUCCACUUCUUUGAAGUUUUAAAAUUUUUUUGGACUUCAUUUGCCUUGGAUAUUGUUUAAAUAGGUUGAUUCCACUUAGGCGGUGUUUGAAUGAGUCCUGGAAAAAUCCAAAUCCAAAAAUAUUAUAAAAUUGGACGGGGUACGAAGACUGUAAGAAAUCCUCACCAUUUUCCGCUUGUAUGAGGGUGUGAAAUGGAUUCUUCAAAAUUCAAAAUGGAAAUAUACGAAAAAAUAUUGUGAGGCGUUUUGAUUUCCAUAUGGUUAGUAAUUAUACAUUUUUCGUAUUUUCAAUAUUUCAAUUAAUUUUUUUGUGUAAUUCAAUUUAAACGCUAAGAAAUAAUUUGGUCAUAUAUUAUCAAUUAAUAAUUAGUACACAAUUAAUUUAAUAUAAAUUUAAUAUUUAUAUUUUAUAUCAUUUAUUUAUAUUUUUUCUUUUUUUUUCACUUCAUAAACAAAUUAUAUUGCUUUUCACACUUCAAAUAUUUUUCAAAUUUUGUCAACAAAUUAUUUGAUGUUAAAAUAAAGUAUAUUUACUUUUCCUUAAUUUAUAAAUUUUAUCACCAAAUUAGUUUGAAUUUUUUUUAUUUAAAAUUUAAUUUUUAUCUUGGGUUUAAUCACUUUAUAUUACAAAAAAAAAUGCUAUUUAUUUUUUCAAAUUUCUCUUUAUUUUUCUGUUGCACAAAAAAAAUUCCCCAAACAAAAUAAUUACAUUAAACAGGAAUUUAUAAUUGGUUGUUGUAAUGGAUGUAAAAAUGUGUGUUGCAUGGGAUUAAUUCCCAUGGCAACCGGUUACCAACCUGAAGAAUUGGUUUUGUAUAUUAUUUUUCCAUGCCAUGUGUCUUCAUCUUGUGAGUCCAAAAAAGUGGGUAUGGUACCGAAAAACCACUUUUCGGUACCCUAGCAUAACCCUAUAUUAUAUAAGCAAGCAUGCAGACCAUGUUCCACAAUAAUAUCAUAUAUUAUAUAAGCAGCCAAACAAGACUUCUUCCUUCCAAGCAUGCAGACCAUAUUCCGCAAUAAUAUCAUAUAUUAUAUAAGCAGCCAAACAAGACUUCUUCCUUCCAAGCAAGCAAACCAUAUUCGACAAUAAUAGUUAAUAUUAUAUAAGCAUAAGUUCUUCUAUGUUUCCUUCUUCAUUGACGAGGUUGACAUGAUUUUUUAUGUUUUUUGUUGAGAUUGUAAUUUUUAGAUUAAACAUGAAAUGUUUUCUUACAUUCUAUUUACUUUUCUUCACUAUUGGUAGCAAAUUUUAUUUUUCUAUCCCGAUGGAAAUACCUAAUAUUGUUAUGAAUCAUGAAAAAUCAUAUCAAUCUCAUAUUUGUUGUUUGUGCUUGAUAGUAGGAUUUUCUUAAAUUUUGCAUUUUAAAUAUUUUUUUUUGGACUUCCCUCAUGUCUAGUACCCUACUUAAAAAUAAAAUAAAAUAAAAUAAAAAUAAAAAACAAUUAUUAACUUAAAAUUCUUCCAUAUUUAACCAUUUUUAAAAUGCGAGAAUUAAGCAAAUUGAGUAAUAUUCUCUUUGUUAGUUUUUAAGUGCUAAUCAAUUGAAGGUAAUCAUUCGGAAGGGGAGUGAAGUGGGGAUGGUCACUUUUUCAAAAUUUAAUAAUUAUAAAUACACAUAAAAUAUAAAUAAUAAUAUAAUAAAUCAAUAUAAGGAUAAUUUUCAAAUAAAUAAAGUAUGGAGGGGGACAUGCAAAUACUAAUUUUUAUAAUGGUUUAGCGUAACUUGACUUACACUUAUAUUCACCCUCCUCAAAUUCCAACCGAGUGAAUAUUCAACUAAUAAGGCUUCCAACUAAGCCUUCAAACUUAACCCAAUAAGAUAUAAUAUGCAAAGAAAUAUUGAAGUAAUAAUACUAAACAAAUCUCUUUAUAAAGUAGUUAGGAUUUCACAGAUGUACUAUUCGCAAUAAUAUUAUAACAUUGUAGGAAAAAAUUAAGGGAUUUUCAAUAGAUAAUUCUCAAAAACAAAGGUGAUUAAUUGUGUUUACAAGAAAAAAAAAUUAUUAUUUCUCUUCAAAAAUGAGCUUAACAAGGGACCCUUUUUUUUUUUGUCAAAAUUAGAAUAGAGUUUGAACACAUUAUUUGAAUCAACAUCUUUCCAAAAGUCAAGAGUGAUGGAAGGCAAAACCCAUCACUUGGUUGGCUGAUUCUUACCUAAUCAAAUGAACUACUCUUAUACAUUGUUUCUAGAAAGAAGUCUAAGAAAAUGUAUGGCACAAUGCAUGUGAUGGGAUCCACCACUUCUAGAGCAAAGUCUCAACUUCCAUGUGAACUCUAAGACCUCUCAAAAUCUUUUUUUUUUUUAUUAUUAUAUUUUUAAAUUAUUAUUUUCACAACAUUAAUUGCUUUAAUAUUUAAUGUUCCUUUCUCCUCUUUUUCUUUGAUAAUAGUGAAAUAUAUAUAUGAAAGCAUGUCUUCGUCAAUAAUUUAACUUUAGUUUUUCCAUUUUUAUGGAUAUCCAAAUAAUAAAAAAAUUAUGAUUUUUUGUUUCUCUCUUUUUCCCUAUAAUUUUUUAAUUUAUUUUUAUUUUCUCUAACUUUCUGAAAACAAAAUAUAACCUAAAUUUUUAUAUAGUCAAUUUGCAGCUAUGGGCAUAUGUCUUGUUUUAGAGUUUUUUAUGACAAUAUUUAAAUUAGCCUUGAAAUUUGGAAGUUAAUCCUAAAUUUUAGGUUGCGAAAGACCACAUUUUCUAUAAGCCCAACUAAAUAGAAACACAAAAAUAAUUCAUAUAGGUUCACUCAAAUUGAAUAAAACUCAUAUUUAAAAUAAGUUGAAUAAAAAAAACUUAAAUACAAUUGUCAUCACAAUAUUACAAAAAUGAGCUUAACAAGAGACUCUAUUUUUUCUUUUUCAAAAUAAACAAAUUUAAGAAGGAGAUUUAAUGCAUUAUUUGAAUCAACAUGUUACCAAAAAUUAAAAUCAAAAAUAAAAAUACAAAGAAUAAAAAGUUAAGAGUGAUGGUACACAAAACCCCACUAUUUGAUUGGUUGGUUUCUAUCUAAUCAAAUGCAUUAUUGUUGGGAUAAAAGAACCCUACCGGUAUGUGUAACGCCCAAGUUUUCAUUUUAAAGGGUAAUUUAGGAAAUUCUUAAUAAUGAUAUUAAAUUAAUUAAUUAAUUAAUUUAAUAAAAUGGAAGAGGGGUGAAAAGGUAAUUUUACGAAUAAUACCCUAGGUAUAAAUAGAAAAUUAUCUUCUUCCUGUUCUUUUUUGAAUCAUAUUCCUGUUCGCAGAGAAUUUCUAGAGAACGUGAAGUUAAGAUCAGAUUUCAAGGUUUGAAGAACAAACCUCUAUAGGUAAGUUUCUAACCUCUAUAUUAUUAUUUUAGAUUCAUUAGUUAAUUUCAAGCACAUUAGAUAUAUUUUUUUUGGAAAACCCCAAAUCUAGAUUAGGGUUAGAUUAUUUUUUUUUUAAUUCGUUUUAAUAUUAAAUAGUGAAAAUUUAAUAUUUUGAUUUAUUAUUGGAAUUGGGGAGAUCUUAAGUUUUUUUUUAUUAGAAAAAAAGAAAAUUCCUAUGAAAAUUUCGAUUUAGAUUAGGGUUAGUUUAUUAUUAUUAUUAUUAUUAUUAUUUCGUUUUAAUAUCAAAAUAGUAAAAAUUUAAGAUUUUGAUUUAUUAUUGGAAAUUGGAAAUUCUUAAGCUUUUAGAAAAAAAAAAAAAAAAACCUGGAAGAUGCGUGUGCACACUGUAGAAUUGGAGAAUGGUUUAAGGAUUAAAAGAAAAAAAUAGAGGACGCGUGUGCUCACUGGAAUUGGAGAAUGAAAAAAAAAUAAUAUAUUAUAUAUAUGGGUGUGGGUGUGUGUACGGAUGGAGGGAUGGGUGGUGUUUGGUAGUUAAUGUACAUAUAUGUAUAUAUAUUAUUAUAUUGACAAUGGAUAAAGUUUAUGUUUAAAAAAAAAAAAAAAGAGAAUAGAAGUUUUAAAUAAAAGAAAGUAAAGUUUUUUUUGGUAUUAUAAUUAUACUAAUAAUGAGUAUAAGUUAAUAAAUAACAUAGAAAUUAAUUAGUGAAAUAAAUUAUAGUUUAAUUAAAUUAAGUUGUGUCCCAAAAAAAAAAAAAAUUAAUUUGAAUACCUAAAAUUUUAGGAUUGACAAACCUGUAAUUUUAGAUAAAUAGUAAUGGUUAUUUCUCUUAUAUUUGUUAGGUGAAGAGUAGAUUUUCAGGAUUAUUUUUCUCCAAAGUUUUUGAGGACUUCUUUUGAGGUAAGGGAAGUUAAUGUAAUAUUUAUAAAAUUAAAUUAUUUCAUAUGUUAUUUUGAAUUGUGGAAAAUAAAAUGAUAUUUUGUUACCAUGCAUGGAUCAAAUUGUUUUGCACUAAAUGUUAUGUUGGAAUAUUUUGUUUUAUUUAUGACACAAAAUAUGGAGAUAUUAUGUUGUGUAAAUUUGAAUACUUGAACAAAAACAUCACUCUGGUUUAUUUGGCCCUUGUCAACGGGAUAUAAUAAUUGACUAUUUGGCCCUAUCAACGGGAUAUAAUAAUUGACCUUUACAUUUCAUGGUGGGAAUGUAAUUGAUUUGGACCCCAGCCUCUAGGGGUUUGGUUAGAGGUUACUAGUACUAGUAGCGUUUGGUUCCGUCCACCAGGAACAAUUUGAGGCUAGCCACCCAUUUGAAAAGUCCCACCUAACUGGGCAUUUGAUAUUUGAUAACCAGAGUAAUGAAACUUGAAUGAAUUUGAUUGAAUCUUAUGUGAAAGUGUUUGAAUUUGAUAUGAAAUUGGUUGGUUGAAUUUUGAAUAUAUUGGUAUUUUUGGAACUCUGAUAUUUGAUAAGAAAAAAAAAAUUUAUAUCUCCUAUUUGAAAUGAAAAUAUUUGAUCCAUGAAUUGCAUUAAUAUUCCUUAUUGGGCUGUGAGCUCAUUCCCAAUUGUUGAAAAUUUUCAGGUACUCUUAGUUCGGGUGAGGAGUGAUGGCUAGGCUGAAGAAUGGUCAUCAUUAGGAUUUGACUUAGGAUUUUAUGUUGGAUUUUGUUUAACUGUUAGUUAUGUUCAUUUGGAUCAUUUGAUAUUUGAAAGUUAUUUGGAAAUUGAAUUUUGAGGAAUUUAGAUUUUGUUCCGCUACUCUGAACAAGUAUUUGGUAAUUGGUAACAUCUAGUUACAAUAUGAUUGUUCGGGUCAGAUUAUACUUUAAGCCUUCGGGUUUGAGGUGUGAAAUGACCGUCACGCCCUUGGAGUGGGUCUUGGGGCGUGACAGUAUGUGAUGGGAUCCACUACUUUUGGAGUGAACUCCUGUAAACUCUGGCUGCUCAACAUUUCUUUAUCCUUAUUUUAAAAAAUUUAACUAUUAUUUUCACAACAUUGCUUGAAGGAAGUUGUUUUUUUUCAUAUUUUUCUUAGAUAAUAAUAAAAAAGUUUGGAAAAAGUUCCUUCCUCAAUAGUUCAUUUUUCUUUAAUUUUCUCAUUUUUCCUUUUCAUUAUUUAAUUUUGAUGAAAACAAAAUGAUAGCAUCCAUCGGAACACCAUUUUUAUGUCUAUUUGUCUUAGGGUAAGUGCUAUUGCAUUUCUAUGUAUAUUUGGUUUUAUUUCAUAUGACUCAAUUUACAUAAAACCUAUAGUUAAAAUAAGUUGACCAGAAAAAAAGGGGGUAAACACAAUUGCUAUCAUGAUAUUACAAAAAUAAAGUUUAACAAGUGACCUUAUUUUUUCUUUGUCAAAUUAAGAAAAGAUAUUUAGUGUAUUAUUUGAACUAAUCAAAUGCAUUAUUGUUAGGACAAAAGAACCCUAUAUGUGAUGGGAUCCACUACUUUUUGAGCUGACUCCCAACUUCCAUGUAAAGUCUAGGGCCUCUCGACAUUUUUUUAUGCAUUCACUUGUUUUUAUUUUUGUUUUUAUUUUUAACUAUUAUUUUCACAACAUUGCUGUAAAGAAGUUGUUUUUCUUUUCAUAUUUUUCUUAGAUAAUAGUAAAAAAGUUUGAAAAAAGUGGCUUCUUCAACAGCUUAAUUUUUUUUUUCUCACAUUUUCAAUGGAUAUCUAGACCAAAGAAAUUCUUUUAUAAAUUUUUCUUCUCAUUUUCUUUUAUCUUUUAUCUUUUUUAACAUUUUUUUUCAACCUUUUAAAAACUAAAUAUAACCUAAAGAAAAUAAUAAUAAAUAUAAAAACAAAUACAUAAGGAAAGACUUUUAACAUAAUUUUUUAUUAUAAAAAUCAUUGAAGUGCACAAAUAAACCUAUAUAUAAAUGAUUGGGAAGCUGGAAUCCUUUGUUCUCAAGAAUCUUUAAUGAUUGGGAAAUGGAAGAGGUGGAGGGCUUGCUUCAAAAAAUACACCCUCUGGUUUUGCAUAGUGAUGUGGAGGAUGUUUUAAGCUGGAAGAUUGGUAAGAAUGACUCUUUCUCUGUUAGAUCUUGAAAAUGUGAAUCUCAAUAAUGAACUACACCUAGAGGGGGGUGAAUAGGUGUUGUAGAACAAUUUUAAAAUUCUCCCAAUAAAGAUUACCUAACCUUAAUAAAACAUCCACAAGCAACAAUGUAUGCAUCAACACUCUCCCAACAAUUUAUAAAUGCAAAACACAUGCAAAUGCUUCAACACUCCUCAAAAAUAAAACAAAAUAUAGAGUGAGAGAAAGAGACACCAGAUUUUUAACGUGGAAAACCUCCGAAGAGAUCAAAAACCACGGGCCUAUCACCGAUUGAAAACUCCACUAUGAAGAAUAAAAAACUGAGUACAAGGUUUUACCUAGCUCAAGCCAACCAAUCCUUCCCGGAAUACUUGACUAGUACCUUCAUUUUCAGCUUCUCCUUUUGGAGCACACUUGGAGUCCGCACCAAGCUCAAUCUCGGCCUCUUCUUGAAUCCACACAAGAAGAAAAUGGGUUUUUGCACAACCCAAAUAGAAUGAGAGAUUUAGAUGUGAAUGAAAGAAUGAAUCAACCCAUUUAUUGCUCAAGAAAAUCCAUUGAAAACAAGUUUUGAAAACAUUAAGAGAAGUUGAUUUUCUUUGCAAUCAAAAACCCCAACUUAGGAAAGCAAAAAUGAGAAAUGAAGAACACUUGGGAGUGUGGCUGCUCUCCCCACGUUUUCAGCAGUCUCUCUACACAGAAAAUGAGAGAAGAUUGGGUUUUAAAGUGUAAAAAGAAACCCUUAAUCUAAUGGCUGAGAUUUGAUCAAAAAAACAUUAGUUGGAUAGAUCCACCCCUACACCUGGAUCGAUCCAGAAACAGAGGAAUAAAAGCCUUGCACCAAAAACCAUUUUUUCCAACUUUCUAACACAUUUUAAAGAUUAAAAACCGGGUUGAUUCACACCCAAUCACUCCACACUCGACUACAUACCUUGGCCUCUUAGCAAAGUCUUAGUCUUCAAAGUCAAGUAGUCCGAAUAGGAAUAGGAAAGCCGAGUUAGGGGACACUUAGGAAUUUUGUCCGGAAUUGCCAACCUAGCUAAACACUCACAGAUCUCUCUACCAAUCCCUCACAACUACCUCUAGUGAACCUUUUCCUUGGAGCAUCAUUUGGAGAUCUUGGGCACCCGUGAGAGUUAGUUUUUUUGCUUGGGAAGCGUCUUGGAACCGAAUUUUGACCACUGAUCAGCUUAAAAGAAGGGGCUGGAUACUAUCAAAUAGAUGUUAUUUGUGUAAAAUGGAAGAGGAAACUAGCGACCACUUGUUCCUAUUCUGCAAGAAGGCUAUAAUGUUAUGGAGCUUGCUUUUCUCCCUUUUUGACGUGCAGUGGGUCCUACAUUCCUCAAUCAAAAGGAAUUUGAUAGCUUGACAUGGUGCUUCUAUGAGCAAGGGAAAGGAAAAAGCUUGGAGGGUUGCUCCCCUUUGUUUAAUGUGGAUAUUAUGGAGGGAGAGAAAUGAAAGAGUGUUCAAUAACAAUGAACGUACCGACCAAGCUCUAAAACUCUCUUUUUUGUACACUUUUGUGAAUUGGGGUAGGGUAUAUUUAGAGAAUCAUUCUUUGUCAUUGUUUGACUUUAUAGAAUGACUUUUGUCUAGAUAAAAUAAAGGUUUUUCUUUUUGGCUUAAAUCCUUGGGCGUUACUUGUAUACUUCGUGUCUACUCUUUUCGCCUUUCUAGGCUUUUAUAAUACAUCCUCUUAUUUGCCUAUAAAAAAAAAACACCUAUAUAUAAAUGAACUUUCAUUGUUUUAAACGUUAAUUAUUAUUGAUAUAACAAAAUGUAGUAUAAAGAAAAUAUAAUUUUACAAAAUUUAUCCAUUAAUCCAAAUGAAUAAGAAUUAAAUGGUGUAAAACAAUUUUCUAUUUUUGAUUAUUUUAUUUUAUUUUAUCUCAUUAUUAAAUUUUGAUGGUAGAAAAAUGGUGGCAUCCAAGAGAACACUAUUUCUAUGUCUAUUUGUUUUACGGUAAGUAAGUGUUAUUAGUGCAUUCCAAAUAAAAUAUAAAAAAAUUUAAUAAUGUUUAUUGCUAGAUUUAAAUUUGACAUAACCAAUAUGCAGUUAUAAACAUAUCUUUAUUGUUUUAGAACUUUUUAACCUUGAAAUUUUGAAUUUAUCCUAAAUUUUACAUGGGGUAAGACUAUAUUUUCAUAAGCUCAAUUAAAUAAAUGCACCAAAAUUUUUUGUUUGAGGUUAACUCAAAUUCAACUAUUUAAAGAAGUAACGGCAAUUCAAAUAAUUUUUUCCAAAUUCAUUUUAAUUUAUAACCCACCUUCUAAAGGAGUUCUCGAUUUCUACCAAUUACUUCAAAUUUACCUUAUUUUAUAUCCCAUAUUUUCAGAAGUCAAUUUACUUCCAACCACACAGAUCCCACGAUAAUAUUAUAUGUCAUCUUAAAUCCAUAUCCAUUUGAUUGGUAGGAUAUUAUCUCUUCAUUUUUAUUUUUUUUUUAAGUUGACGUUGACUCAAGUCAAUCCCCUCUCUCCAUAUAUAGAUGUAUCAGUCUGAGAUCACUUACAGCCUUCUGAUCGUCUCUCAUCGUCUCUCUAGCUACACUUCCGUUCCAUCUACUUUCCAUCCUCUGCAGUAUUAUUUUCUUUGCUAUUUCAAAUAUGGCUGAACAAAUUCCAUUCGGUAUUGCUGAGAACCUUUUGAUGAAGCUGGGCUCUGCUGUUUUCCAUGAAAUUGGAUUAAUGUAUGGUGUCCGAGGUGAGCUGAGUAAGCUUAAGGAGAAACUGUCCACCGUCGGAGCUGUGCUUCUUGAUGCUGAGGAGAAGCAGGAGAGCAGCUGCGCAGUAGCAGAUUGGGUCAGGAGGCUUAAAGAUGUUGUGUAUGAUGCUGAUGACUUGUUGGACGACUUUGCAACCGAAGACUUGAGGAGAAAGACUGAUGAUCGUGGAAGAUUUGCGGCACAAGUGAGUGACUUCUUCUCACCUUCGAAUCAACUUGCUUUUCGAUUUAAGAUGGCUCAUGGAAUAAAGGCUAUUAGAGAAAGGCUAGAUGAUAUUGCAAAUGAUAUCUCCAAGUUCAAUUUAAUUUCCAGAGUUAUGUCUGAUGUCCGGGUAAGGAAUAAUGGGAGGGAGACGUGCUCUGUUGUGGAGAAAUCUCAUAAAAUUGUGGGUAGAGAAGAAAACAAAAGGGAGAUAAUAGAGUUGUUGAUGCAAUCAAGUACUCAAGAAAAUCUGUCAAUGGUUGUGAUUGUAGGCAUGGGGGGCUUAGGCAAGACCACCCUUGCUCAGUUGGUAUACAACGACCAAGGGGUGGUAAGCUAUUUUAAUCUUAGCAUGUGGGUCUGUGUUUCCGUUGAUUUCGAUGUUGAAGUACUCGUUAAAAACAUCUUAAUGUCUGCGACUAAUGAAGAUGUGGGAAACCUACGCUUAGAACAAUUGCAAAAACGUCUGCAAGAAAAGUUAGAUGGGAAGAGGUACUUGCUUGUGUUAGAUGAUGUCUGGAACGAGGACAAAAGGAAAUGGGGUCAGUUCAUAACCUUAUUGCCUGUUGGUGCAAAUGGGAGUAAAAUCUUGGUGACCACUCGAAGCACAAGAGUUGCAUCAGUUAUAGGAAUUGAUUCCCCAUAUAUUGUGGAAGGUCUUAAAGAUGACGAGUCUUGGGAUUUGUUUGAAAGUCUUGCAUUUAAAAAGGCAGAAGAGCAAAUGCACCCAAACCUUGUAGCCAUAGGAAAAGAUAUUGUAAAGAUGUGCAAAGGAGUUCCUCUUAUCAUCGAGACUUUAGGCAGAAUGUUGUACUUCAAAACCCAAGAAAGCCAUUGGUUGAGCAUUAAAAAAAAUAAAAAUCUUGUACAUCUUGGAGAAAAAAAUGAUAUUUUACCGAUAUUGAGGUUAAGCUAUGACAAUCUCCCCGUCCAUUUGAAACAAUGUUUUGCCUAUUGUGCAUUGUUUCCCAAAGAUUAUAUAAUUAAAAAAAAGUUGUUAGUACAACUAUGGAUGGCACAAGGUUACCUUCAACCAUAUGAUGAGAAUAUAGAUUUAGAGGAUGUUGGUAAUCAAUAUUUUGAAGAUUUAUUGUCAAGGUCAUUGUUUCAAAAAGUUGAAAAUAAAUAUGAUAACAAUAUGUUAAGUUAUAAAGUGCAUGACUUAAUUCAUGAUCUUGCACAAUCCAUUGUAAAUUCGGAGGUUAUCAUUGUUACUGAUGAUGUGAAGAUCAUUUCACAAAGAAUUCAUCAUGUGUCAUUAUUUACAAAACACAAUGAAAUGCUCAAGGGUUUAAUGGGCAAAUCCAUCAGGACUUUCUUUAUGGACGCCGGCUUUGUGGAUGAUCAUGAUAGUUCUAUAACUAGACUCCUUUCAAGCUUAAAAGGUUUGCGGGUAAUGAAGAUGAGUUUCUUCUUACGACAUAAGGCUCUGUCAUCUUUAGGAAAACUAAGUCAUCUAAGAUAUCUUGAUCUUUCUUAUGGGUGGUUUGAAAACCUCCCAAAUGCUAUUACAAGAUUGAAGCAUUUACAGACAUUGACGCUUUUCAAUUGUAUACGUCUAAAAGAAUUGCCGAGAAAUAUGAAAAAAUUGAUCAACCUGAGGCAUCUUGAGAUUGAUGAAGUAAAUAAAUUAAGUUAUAUGCCACGUGGUUUGGGAGAUUUGACUAAUCUUCAAACCUUGCCAUUAUUCUGGGUAAGGAAUGAUGGUGGGGAAUCCAGGCACAAGAGAAUGGGUAGGUUGAAUGAACUGAGAUUCCUUAACAAUCUCAGAGGACAACUACAAAUUAAAAGGCUUUCAAAUGCAAGGGGCAGUGAAGCUAAGGAAGCCAUGUUGGAGGGUAAACAGUACCUUGAGUGCUUGAGAUUAGAUUGGUGGAAACUACCAGCUACCCAGGAGAGUGAGGAGGCAAUGUUAGUAAUGGAAUGCCUGCAACCACAUCCAAAUCUGAAGGAGCUCUUCAUAGUUGAUUACCCAGGUGUGAGAUUCCCAAAUUGGAUGAUGAAUGAUGGGUUGGAUUUGCUGCUCCCAAACCUAGUCAAAAUACAAAUAUCGUCUUGCGACAGAAGCAAAGUUCUGCCACCUUUUGCACAACUCCCUUCUCUUAAAUAUCUAGAACUUUCCAAUCUAAUAGCUGUGGAGUGCAUGAUGGAUUACCCUUCAUCAGCAAAGCCAUUCUUCCCAUCUCUGAAGACACUCCAACUUUCUGAUUUGCCUAAUUUGAAGGGAUGGGGAAUGAGGGAUGUAGCAGCAGAGCAAGCUCCUUCAUAUCCUUAUCUUGAGGAUCUACGGCUGGACAACACCACUGUGGAGCUAUGCUUACAUUUGAUCUCUGUCUCUUCUUCAUUGAAGUCUGUGUCUAUUAGACGCAUAAAUGAUCUGAUAUCUCUGCCAGAGGGGCUUCAACAUGUUUCCACCCUACAAACUCUCACAAUUAGGGGUUGCUCUAGUUUGGCAACUUUACCAGACUGGAUCGGCCGCCUCACAUCACUUUCAGAGCUUUGCAUUGAAAAGUGCCCUAAUUUAACAUCACUGCCAGAAGAGAUGCGAUCCCUCCGCCAUCUACACACACUUAAAAUCAAUGGAUGUCCAUACUUAUAUGAAAGAUGCCAAAAGGAAACUGGUGAAGAUUGGCCUACGAUUUCUCAUAUUCCCGAAAUUAUCAUUCGGCGAUGGUGAAGCAGAUAUGUGAAGCUUGCCUUGUCUCUUUAAUGAAUGCGUCAUCCACAAUAAAUUUCGGUAUGCAAUCCAAUUUCUAGUUGUUUGCUGUGCUUUUUGUUAUUUGUUCGCACUUCACCUGUUAUAUAAAAUGCUUAGCUUACCAAAAUGCCCUGUUACUCGGUGUUUGCAGUUUACACAUUUGCAUUUUACUGCCGUCGAAUGUAUUGAGGUGAACCCCCACCACAUGUUGAAUUGAUUGGUAGUGUGAAGAAGACCAUUGAUGUAUAUAGGUGUAGAGUAAGGUGUUUUUUCCAUAGGGACUGCCACAAGCAAUUUAAUUUCUUUUUUUUUUUUUUUUGAAUGUUGAUUCUUAUAAGAUAGAACCAAAAGCAUAAAAUAAAAUCUAAUGCUUAUUUAGAGUUUUUUUGUAAUAUAAACAAGUGCCUAUCGCAAAGAAAGAACAUAGCAUAUUUUUGUGCAAUUUUAAAUUAUUCAUCGUUCUAUGUGUUUCCAAUCCAAUUUGUAUGGUUGUUUUUGCAGGGUUUAUGUUUUGUUACUUUACAAUUUAUCUCUUAAGAACCUUAUAUAUUAUGUUUUGCUAAUUUCAAUAUGUAAUAGCAUAUGUGAGGAAAAAGGUUUUUCAAUUUGUUUUCCUUCACUUUGUUGCAUGUCUAUGUUCUUUUACUCAUGAAUACAAUUGGGACUGUAAAUGCUAUGUUCGGUUUUCUUGUAGUUAUUCAGAAUAUCACUUGGGAUGUGCAUAUAAUACUUUCUUAUUAUAGAAGUCUUUGCCCUAGUUAUAAAUUAUGAUUUGAUUUUAUAUUUUUGGAUUGAAAAAUGCUUGUAAUUCUUUUCGCUAGUCUAAUUUCUUGAUGAUUCAUUCUAUUAAGCCAACACCCUUUAAUAUUCCUUAAAAAAAUGUUGACAAGCGGAGGAUAACCGAUGCAUAUGGAACGAGUUAGCUCACUUACAUCACAUUCCCAACCUAUACUCUUUUUAGCAUGUUGUCCAUACUUUGUCUCCACUAUUCAGGUUUAGAAUUGACUCCUCUCCUUUUGCUCUGAAUUGUUUACCCCUUUCAUUCAUUUACUAAAAUUUUUUGUACUCCUUCUGAUGUUUUGAUCUUUUUUUUUUAACUCUUAUUUGAAGUAGAACAACAAUAUACCACUUGAGCAAGGAGCACAUAUCAUUGAAUCCAUGUGGUAAGUGGUUAAUUCUCGUCUCUCAAGUUUCUUGAUCGUGGGAAUCUAAAUGCUUUGGGGUGCAUGGAUAACAAUAGCGACAUAUCUCCCUCAUUUUCAUUGAGAGGCAAGUUGGUUUGAGGGGAGUAUAAAAUAAGGAGAACUAGCAGGACCAUUCUUCCCAUUCCUGCCAUGAUGGAGGAAAAGAGACGGUGGAGGGAUAGUAUCAAUAUCACUAGCAAAACAACAAAUUUGAAGGGAUUACCCAUCAUCAGCAAAGCCAUUAUUCCCAUGUCUGAGGACACUCCAACUUUUUUAUUUGCCCAAUUUGGAGGGAUGGGGAAGGAGGGAUGUAGCAGCAGAGCAAGCUCCUUCAUAUGCUUAUCUUGAGGAUCUACAGCUGGGCAACACCACUGUGGAGCUACGCUUACAUUUGAUCUCUGUCUCUUCUUCAUUGAAGUCUCUGUCUAUUAGACGCAUAAAUGAUCCGAUAUCUCUGCCAGAGGGGCUUCAACAUGUUUCCACUCUACAAACUCUCAGAAUUUCCGGUUGCUUUAGUUUGGCAACUUUACCAGACUGGAUUGGCAGCCUCACAUCACUUUCAUACCUUUCCAUUCAAUACUGCCCUGAGUUGAGAUCACUACCAGAAGAGAUGCGAUCCCUCCGCCAUCUAUACACACUCGAAAUCGGUGGAUGUCCAUGCUUAUAUGAAAGAUGCCAAAUGGAAACUGGCGAAGAUUGGCCUAAGAUUUCUCAUAUUCCCGAAAUUAUUAUUUCGCGACAUUGAAGCAGGUAUGUGAAGCUUGCCUUGUCUCUUUAAUUGAAUGCGUCAUCCACAAUAAAUUUCAAGUAUGCAAUCCAAUUUCCAAUUGUUUGUUGUGCUUUUUCUUAUUUGUUCGCACUUCACCUGUUCGAUAAAAUGCUUAGGUUACCAAAAUGCCUUGUUACUCGGUGUUUGCAGUUUACACGUUUGCAUUUUAUUGCCGUCGAAAUUGUUGUCAUCUCAUUUCUCUCAAAUAUUAUAUAAAUUUCAGAAUAUAAUACUUGAAACUGUUGCACUACUGAUUAUUUAAGGCUUGGAAUGCCUUCAAAAAUUGCAACCAUCAUGCCUCUAGAUGGCCACCCAAGAAAACUAAAGCUCAGGAAACUCAGCCAGGAAUUUAUAUUAAUCAGAACUAGACUCUUAUAUGGAUUUGCUUGUAGUGUUUAACAAUGUUUGGGCUAGAACUUAAAGAAGUGUAGCUCCAUAUUCCUUGAUAGACAUGUUAAUGUAUUGAGGUGAACCCCACCACAUGUUGAAUUGAUUGGUAGUGUGAAGAAGACCAUUGGUGUAUAUAGGUGUAGACUAAGGUGCUUCUUCCACAGGGCUGCCACAAGCAAUCUAAUUUCUUUUUCUUAUUUUUUUUCUUUUUUUUAUGUUGAUUCUUAUAAGAUGGCACCAAAAGCAUAAAAUAAAAUCUAAUGCUUAUUUAGAGUUUUUUGUAAUAUAAACAAGAGUCUAUUGCAAAGAAAGAACAAACAUAUUUCUAUGCAAUUUUAAAUUAUUCAACUUACUAUGUGUUUGCAAUCCAAUUUGUAUGGUUGUUUUUACGGGGUUUAUUUUUAGUUAUUUUACAAUUCAUCUCUUAAGAACCUUAUAUAUAUUAUAUUUUGCUAAUUUCGAUAUGUAAUAGCAUAUGUGAGGAAAAAGGUUUUUCAAUUUGUUUUCCUUCACUUUGUUGCAUGUCUAUGUUCUUUUAUUCAUGAAGAUAACUGGGACUGUAAAUGUCAUGUUCGGUUUUAUUGUAGUUAUUCAGAAUAUCACUUGGGAUGUGCAUAUAAUACUUUCUUAUUAUGGAAGUCUUUUCCCUGGUUAUAAAUUAUGAUUUGAUUUUAUAUUUUUGGAUUGAACAAUGCUUGUAAUUCUUUUCGCUAUUCUAAUUUCUUGAUGAUUCAUUCUAUUAAGCCAACACCCUUUAAUAUUCCUUAAAAAAAUGUUGACAGGUGGAGGAUAACCGAUGCAUAUGGAACGAGUUAGCUCACUUACAUCACAUUCCCAACCUAUACUCUUUUUAGCAUGUUGUCCAUACUUUGUCUCCACUAUUCAGGUUUAGAAUUGACUCCUCUCCUUUUGCUCUGAAUUGUUUACCCCUUUCAUUCAUUUACUAAAAUUUUUUGUACUCCUUCUGAUGUUUUGAUCUUUUUUUUUUAACUCUUAUUUGAAGUAGAACAACAAUAUACCACUUGAGCAAGGAGCACAUAUUAUUGAAUCCAUGUGGUAAGUGGUUAAUUCUCGUCUCUCAAGUUUCUUGAUCGUGGGAAUCUAAAUGCUUUGGGGUGCAUGGAUAACAAUAGCGACAUAUCUCCCUCAUUUUCAUUGAGAGGCAAGUUGGUUUGAGGGGAGUAUAAAAUAAAGAGAACUAGCAGGACCAUUCUUCCCAUUCCUGCCAUGAUGGAGGAAAAGAGAUGGUGGAGGGAUAGUAUCAAUAUCACUAGCAAAACAACAAAUUUGAAGGGAUUACCCAUCAUCAGCAAAGCCAUUAUUCCCAUGUCUGAGGACACUCCAACUUUUUUAUUUGCCCAAUUUGGAGGGAUGGGGAAGGAGGGAUGUAGCAACAGAGCAAGCUCCUUCAUAUCCUUAUCUUGAGGAUCUACAGCUGGGCAACACCACUGUGGAGCUACGCUUACAUUUGAUCUCUGUCUCUUCUUCAUUGAAGUCUCUGUCUAUUAGACGCAUAAAUGAUCCGAUAUCUCUGCCAGAGGGGCUUCAACAUGUUUCCACCCUACAAACUCUCACAAUUGAAUAUAUCUCUGGUUUGGUCACUUUACCACACUGGAUCGGCCGCCUCACAUCACUUUCAAAGCUUCGCAUUGAACACUGCCAUAAUUUGUUAUUUCUGCCAGCAGAGAUGCGAUCCCUCCGCCAUCUACACACACUUGAAAUCUGUGAUUGUCCACUCUUAUAUAGAAGAUACAAAUACAAAACUGGUGAAGUUUCGGCUAUGAUUUCUCAUAUUCCCGAAAUUAUUAUUUCGCGACAUUGAAGCAGGUAUGUGAAGCUUGCCUUGUCUCUUUAAUUGAAUGCAUCAUCCACAAUAAAUUUCAAGUAUGCAAUCCAAUUUCUAGUUGUUUGUUGUGCUUUUUCUUAUUUGUUCGCACUUCACCUGUUCGAUAAAAUGCUUAGGUUACCAAAAUGCCUUGUUACUCGGUGUUUGUAGUUUACAUGUUUGCAUUUUACUGCCGUCGAAAUUAUUGUCAUCUCACUUCUCUCAAAUAUUAUAUAAAUUUCAGAAUAUAAUACUUGAAACUGUUGCAAUACUGAUUAUUUAAUGCUUAUAAUGCCUUCAAAAAUUGCAACCAUCAUGCCUCUAGAUGGCCACCCAAGAAAACUAAAGCUCAGGAAACUCAGCCAGGAAUUUAUAUUAAUCAAAACUAGACUCUUUUAUGGAUUUGCUUGUAGUGUUUAACAAUGUUUGGGUUAGAACUUAAAGAAGUGUCGCUCCAUAUUCCUUGAUGGACACGUUAAUGUAUUGAGGUGAACCCCACCACAUGUUGAAUUGAUUGGUAGUGUGAAGAAGACCAUUGGUGUAUAUAGGUGUAGACUAAGGUGCUAAAUCCGUGGGGACUGCCACAAGCAAUCUAAUUUUAUUUUAUUUUUUUAUGUUGAUUCUUAAAAGAUGGCACCAAAAGCAUAAAAUAAAAUCUAUUGCUUAUUUAGAGUUUUUUGUAAUAUAAACAAGUGUCUAUCGCAAAGAAAGAAUAGAGCAUAUUUCUAUGCAAUUUUAAAUUAUUCAACUUACUAUGUGUUUGCAAUCCAAUUUGUAUGGUUGUUUUUACAGGGUUUAUUUUUUGUUAUUAUACAAUUUAUCUAGCUCUUUAGAACCUUAUAUAUUAUGUUUUGCUAAUUUCGAUAUGUAAUAGCAUAUGUGAGGGAAAAGGUUUUUCAAUUUGUUUUCCUUCACUUUGUUGCAUGUCUAUGUUCUUUUACUCAUGAAUAUAAUUGGGACUGUAAAUGUCAUGUUCGGUUUCCUUGUAGUUAUUUAGAAUAUCACUUGGGAUGUGCAUAUAAUACUUUCUUAUUAUGCAAGUCUUUUCCCUAGUUAUAAAUUAUGAUUUAAUUUUAUAUUUUUGGAUUGAACAAUGCUUGUAAUUCUUUUCACUAGUCCAAUUUCUUGAUGAUUCAUUCUAUUAACCCAACACCCUUUAAUAUUCCUAAAAAAAAUGUUGAUAGGUUGAGGAUAACCGAUGCAUAUGGAACAAGUUAGCUCACUUACGUCACACUCCCAAUCUAUACUAUCUUUAGCAUGUUGUCCAUACUUUGUCUCCACUAUUCAGGUUUAGAAUUGACUCAUCUCCUUAUGCUCUGGAUUGUUUACCCCUUUCAUUCAUUUACUAAAAAAUGUUGUACUUCGUCUGAUGUUUUUCGUCUGAUAUUUUGAUCUUUUUUUUAACUCUCAUUUAAAGUAGAACAACAAUAAACCACUUGAGCAAGGAGCACAUAUUACUGAAUCCAUGAGGCAAGUGGUUAAUUCUCGUCUCUCAAGCUUCUUGAUCAUGGGAAUCUAAAUGCUUUGGGAUGCAUGGAUAACAAUAGCGGCAUAUCUCCUUCAUUUUCAUUGAAAGGCAAGUUGGUUUGAGGGGAGUAUAAAACAAGGAGAACUAGCAGGACCAUUCUUCCCAUUCCUACCAUGAUGGAGGAAAAGAGAUGGUGGAGGGAUAGUAUCAAUAUCACUAGCAAAACAACAGUAACCAACAUUCAUUACCUCUCUAGUUUCCUCGUCUUUUUAUUUUACUUGAGCUGAAAUGCAUGCUGAUAUAUCUAUAUCUUGAUCAGGAUUUAGAUCUGUAUAACAUCUCUUCCACAAGAGGAGCCCUAAGUGCUUACUUCUCCUAAUUUGGUAAGUAUGUUGCAUUAUUGUUUGUUUGUAUGAUUCUAAAUAUCAGUUUUGAAUGAUGAUGAAAAUUUAUGUUUUUCUCUCAUUUUCUCAAAAUUGAUGACAAAUAGAUAAAAGAUUCUUGUGCUCUUUAAUUCUAGCACACCAUACAAACAUAUUUUAGGUUUGCAAAUCACCCCAUAUUCCUUUUCUAUGGGGUUUACUUUUCAUUAUUUUACAAUCUGUCCUUUAAGAAUGUUACACUUUCUUUACAGCUUUAAUGGUUACCAGAGUCUUUGAUGCAUUUCCAAAAACACUCAUAUUAUGCAAGUCCUUUUCAUGGUUAUGAGUCAUGUUUGUAAUUCUUUUGAUUGGAUUUUAUUGGACAAAUUUAUUGCAGAUUUAUUCUAUUGCAGACCAAUACCAAAGGGGUGAUGUUGAGGAUUGGAUAGAUGCUUUUCAAUAUUCCAUAAAUAAAUAUUGACAUGUUAUGGGUACCCGAGGCAUAUGGGAAGAGUUAGCCAUUCAAUUCGAUAUUUAAGCUUUGCAUGUUGUCUAUAACAUGUCUUCAUUAUUCAGGUUUAGGACCCAUUCCUCUCUUUUUUGGUUUUGUUGGUUUAUUUUCUGUUAUUUAAUUUGCUAAAAAUUCUUAUACCUUGUCUUAUAGGAAGGGUGAAACAAGGAGAAUUAACAGGAUUAUUCUUCUCAUUUCUGCCAUGAUGGAGAAACUCAAAAACUAGAUAAACUUAAAACAUAUGUCGAGGUGGUAGUGGCAUUACCAGAUAAACAACAGAAGCUUCAUUCUUGCCAUGUUUUCCUUUUCUUCCUAUUCUCCUUGAGCCGACAUCCAUGCCACUGCAUCUAUAUCUUAAGGAUCCACAGUACCAUCUCCUUCAUUUCCUUUCUCCUUCCUACAUCCAUUGAUGUCUAUGCAUAUUGAUGGCGAUAGAGAAUCCAACAUAUGUUCCAAAAAAAGGAUUUUGGUACAUCAUUUCUCUCUUAAAUUUUGACAUGCCAUUGUUUAUUUGUCCAAGUCUAGAUAUUCGAAAUGUAAAUGCUAAUGGUGGUGAAAUCUUAUGUCUUAGGGAAUUUCAGCAAGUUAAAGAUUUUUAUGUGAAAGUAGGAAUCAAUUCUAAGAACUUGAGAGGUAGCAUUCAAUAUGUAUUCACCUUACUACAGCAAAGAAUCUAACACUUUGGGUAUGUGUUCAUUCUUUAACUUAGGUAAAAUAGAUGGUAAGUCACCUCACUAAGCUUGUUGUUAUUCAUUGUCAAGCUUGAAAUCACUACUAGAGGGAUGUCAAAAGGAAGCAUGUGCAGAUUGAUCUGAUGGCUUAUCAUGUCCCAAGAAUUCAUAUCUACCAGUCUCAAAUAGCUAAUGCACAAAGGACCU
rnacentral:lncRNA from 1 species